rnacentral:rRNA from 1 species
GUGGGGAAUAUUGCACAAUGGGGGAAACCCUGAUGCAGCGACGCCGCGUGGAGGAAGAAGGUCUUCGGAUUGUAAACUCCUGUUGUUGAGGAAGAUAAUGACGGUACUCAACAAGGAAGUGACGGCUAACUACGUGCCAGCAGCCGCGGUAAAACGUAGGUCACAAGCGUUGUCCGGAAUUACUGGGUGUAAAGGGAGCGCAGGCGGGAAGACAAGUUGGAAGUGAAAUCCAUGGGCUCAACCCAUGAACUGCUUUCAAAACUGUUUUUCUUGAGUAGUGCAGAGGUAGGCGGAAUUCCCGGUGUAGCGGUGGAAUGCGUAGAUAUCGGGAGGAACACCAGUGGCGAAGGCGGCCUACUGGGCACCAACUGACGCUGAGGCUCGAAAGUGUGGGUAGCAAACAGGAUUAGAUACCCCAGUAGUCC